rnacentral:rRNA from 1 species
CCUACGGGAGACAGCAGUGGGGAAUAUUGGGCAAUGGGCGCAAGCCUGACCCAGCAACGCCGCGUGAAGGAAGAAGGCUUUCGGGUUGUAAACUUCUUUUAGUUGGGAAUAAAAGGGGGCUCGUGAGCCCCGUAUUGUAUGUACCAUCAGAAAAAGGACCGGCUAAUUCCGUGCCAGCAGCCGCGGUAAUACGGAAGGUCCGGGCGUUAUCCGGAUUUAUUGGGUUUAAAGGGAGCGUAGGCCGGCUUUUAAGUCAGCUGUGAAAGUCCGCGGCUCAACCGUGGAAUUGCAGUUGAAACUGGAGGCCUUGAGUGCACACAGGGAUGCCGGAAUUCAUGGUGUAGCGGUGAAAUGCUUAGAUAUCAUGAAGAACUCCGAUCGCGAAGGCAAGUGUCCGGGGUGCAACUGACGCUGAGGCUCGAAAGUGCGGGUAUCAAACAGGAUUAGAUACCCGUGUAGUC